GAGAGAUGUUUUAUUCGAGGCUAAAUUGAAAAAAAACAAAAAUGCCACUGAUAAAACGAGUUACGCAUUUUCCGCAAGUUGCUAACUCACCUGACUUUGGCA